CGGGGCGUAGCGCAGCCUGGUAGCGCACUUGCAUGGGGUGCAAGGGGUCGUGAGUUCGAAUCCCACCGUCCCGA
rnacentral:tRNA from 2 species